rnacentral:rRNA from 1 species
UACGAAGGGGGCUAGCGUUGUUCGGAAUCACUGGGCGUAAAGCGCACGUAGGCGGAUCGUUAAGUCGGGGGUGAAAUCCCAGGGCUCAACCCUGGAACUGCCUUCGAUACUGGCGAUCUUCGAGUCCGGGAGAGGUGAGUGGAACUCCGAGUGUAGAGGUGAAAUGCGUAGAUAUUGGGAGGAACACCAGUGGCGAAGGCGGCUCACUGGACCGGUACUGACGCUGAGGCGCGAAAGCGUGGGGAGCAAGCAGG